rnacentral:rRNA from 1 species
CCUACGGGUGGCAGCAGUGAGGAAUAUUGGUCAAUGGGAGGAAUCCUGAACCAGCCAUGCCGCGUGCAGGACGACGGCUCUACGAGUUGUAAACUGCUUUUGUACCGGGGUAAAAUGCUCUACGAGUAGGGUUUUGAAAGUACGGUACGAAUAAGGAUCGGCUAACUCCGUGCCAGCAGCCGCGGUAAUACGGAGGAUCCGAGCGUUAUCCGGAUUUAUUGGGUUUAAAGGGUGCGUAGGUUGUUUUAUAAGUUAGCGGUGAAAUACCGAUGCUCAACAUCGGGGCUGCCGCUGAUACUGUAGGACUAGAGAUCGGAUGCAGCAGGCGGAAUGUGUAGUGUAGCGGUGAAAUGCAUAGAUAUUACACAGAACACCGAUUGCGAAGGCAGCUUGCUAGGCCGGAUCUGACACUGAGGCACGAAAGCGUGGGGAUCGAACAGGAUUAGAUACCCCUGUAGUC